rnacentral:rRNA from 1 species
UACGAAGGGGGCUAGCGUUGCUCGGAAUGACUGGGCGUAAAGGGCGCGUAGGCGGAUGGCAUAGUCAGAUGUGAAAUUCCCGGGCUUAACCUGGGGACUGCAUUUGAUACGUGUCGUCUUGAGUUCGGAAGAGGGUCGUGGAAUUCCCAGUGUAGAGGUGAAAUUCGUAGAUAUUCGCAAGAACACCAGUGGCGAAGGCGGCCAACUGGACCAACACUGACGCUGAGGCGCGAAAGCGUGGGGAGCAAACAGG